AUUAGAUACCCCACUAUGCUUAACCCUAAACACAGACAAUACCCACACAAUAUUGUCCGCCAGAGAACUACUAGCGAAAAGCUUGAAACUCCAAGGACUUGGCGGUGCCCCACAUCACCCUAGAGGAGCCUGUCCUAUAAUCGAUACCCCACGUUAUACCUCACCAUCAUUUGCCAGUCAGCCUAUAUACCGCCGUCGUCAGCCCACCUUAUAAAAGACAAACAGUCGGCACAAAGGAAUGCACAAAUACGUCAGGUCAAGGUGUAGCACAUGAGAUGGAAGAGAUGGGCUACAUUUCCUGUCACAGAACAUACGAACGGCAAAGUGAAACACCAACCCAAAGGCGGAUUUAGCAGUAAAAUGAACAAGCAACCUCAUCUUAAACCUGCUCUGGGGCGCGCACAC
rnacentral:rRNA from 1 species